UACGUAGGGGGCAAGCGUUGUCCGGAAUCAUUGGGCGUAAAGAGCGUGUAGGCGGCUCGGUAAGUCCGCUGUGAAAGUCCAGGGCUCAACCCUGGAAUGCCGGUGGAAACUGUCGAGCUCGAGUCCGGAAGAGGCGAGUGGAAUUCCUGGUGUAGCGGUGAAAUGCGCAGAUAUCAGGAGGAACACCAAUGGCGAAGGCAGCUCGCUGGGACGGUACUGACGCUGAGGCACGAAGGCCAGGGGAGCAAACGGG
rnacentral:rRNA from 1 species